rnacentral:rRNA from 1 species
AUUGAACGCUGGCGGCAGGCCUAACACAUGCAAGUCGAGCGGUAGAGAGGAGCUUGCUCCUCUUGAGAGCGGCGGACGGGUGAGUAAUGCCUAGGAAUCUGCCUGGUAGUGGGGGAUAACGUUCGGAAACGGACGCUAAUACCGCAUACGUCCUACGGGAGAAAGCAGGGGACCUUCGGGCCUUGCGCUAUCAGAUGAGCCUAGGUCGGAUUAGCUAGUUGGUGAGGUAAUGGCUCACCAAGGCGACGAUCCGUAACUGGUCUGAGAGGAUGAUCAGUCACACUGGAACUGAGACACGGUCCAGACUCCUACGGGAGGCAGCAGUGGGGAAUAUUGGACAAUGGGCGAAAGCCUGAUCCAGCCAUGCCGCGUGUGUGAAGAAGGUCUUCGGAUUGUAAAGCACUUUAAGUUGGGAGGAAGGGCAGUAAAUUAAUACUUUGCUGUUUUGACGUUACCGACAGAAUAAGCACCGGCUAACUCUGUGCCAGCAGCCGCGGUAAUACAGAGGGUGCAAGCGUUAAUCGGAAUUACUGGGCGUAAAGCGCGCGUAGGUGGUUUGUUAAGUUGGAUGUGAAAUCCCCGGGCUCAACCUGGGAACUGCAUUCAAAACUGACUGACUAGAGUAUGGUAGAGGGUGGUGGAAUUUCCUGUGUAGCGGUGAAAUGCGUAGAUAUAGGAAGGAACACCAGUGGCGAAGGCGACCACCUGGACUAAUACUGACACUGAGGUGCGAAAGCGUGGGGAGCAAACAGG